AGAUGUGCUCGGCGUUAUCACUGGUGUAUCCGAUGUUGUUAAGUAUCAUAGCUCGAGUAGGAGCGAGCCUUCCACAAAGCGUUGUAUCAGUAUCAUGGACCUAAGUUACUGUUGUGCUCUGGGGCGAACGUGCUACAACCUUUCAGGGAGACUACAUUAUCGAGCUGGGCUCGAUUGAACCAGUGGUUGCACUAUUUGUUGGAACUCUGGUGAAGGCCUAUGAAGGUCGAAGGGGUGUGAGAGGAAGUGUAGCGCAUCGGUGGUACAUAAAUGAUGACACUUCUGAGAUGAUAGACUUUGAUAAGAGGCUCCAGGGCAAGUUCUCUCCUGUAGAAAAGAUUGUCCUCCAGGGACAGACAACAGCUAUGCAUUUGCCUUGACCGUAUUGAUAUACUGCUGCAUGUAUUUUUUCUAUGAACUUACCAUCCCUGAAGGAAAGAAGAGUAAUUCUUCCCCGGCCUCAGUCAACAAAAGUGUCGAUAUAAAGAGAGUGCCAGCAAGUGGUCUACCUAAGUCUGUGUUGUGUAAACCCUUGUUUUCCGAUGGCCGUGCUUAGGGGCUCGAAAAACUGGAUGAUGCUCUGCUGGUCUCGGUGGUGAGCUUGCUGCUACGUUGAGCAAAUCAACUGAAAGCCUGACGGCGGAUGAAGACGAGACGUCCGUGACUAAAAGGGCUAAGUUGUAGUCCAAACGGCCCUAGGCGGAUCAUUAUUUUGGUGUGUCAGCUAGGACCACAAUGUGUUGGUUAGAUGUGCUCUCGCAUUGAUGGUCUAGCGAAUGGACGUCUCGACGUGUGUUAGAUGGUGAAGCUUCUUCCUAGGUCCAUCGUCCCUUUUGUCGUGCCGUAUUGCUUGCAAUGCGAUGUUACGUUACACAGACCCCAGGAAACUUUAAUGUGGUGCUUGUGAAAGACCAGCUGCUGUUGGUACUAUGAUCAGCAUUGGCCUUCUAUUUUGUGUGGUGUUUGUUUAGCUCUUGGUUGCUAACGAUGUAUGGUCAGUGCCAUGAGAUGGUGCUUCUGAUGGAUUAACUACUCUGUGGUUGAUGUAAGUUAUGAACCAGUUAAGCUGUGGCUCUAAUGUCG